CAGCCUCCAAACUCCCCUGACCUAAAUAUUCUAGAUUUAGGUUUUUUUGCAGCGCUCCAGGCUCUUUUUCAGAAGUUGUCUCCAGGUUCUAUUGAGGACAUUGUGUUGAAGGUGCAGCAGGCAUUCGAUGAGUAUCCACCUGAGAGAAGCAACAUAAUUUUCCUCACUCUCCAAUCCUGCAUGAUAGAAGUCUUGAAGCAAUCUGGAGGAAAUCGCUACAAAGUUCUGCACAUGCAGAAGGCUGUGAGAGAGAGGCUCGGCAAUCUCCCGGUGGCACUACAAUGUGCUGCAAGCAUUGUUAAUGAUGCCAUUGAAUCCCUACCUGAUGUUUAG
rnacentral:rRNA from 1 species